AUUGAACGCUGGCGGCAGGCUUAACACAUGCAAGUCGAGCGGAGCUGCGGACGGGUGUGGAAUGCCUAGGAAUCUGCCUGGUAGUAGGGGAUAACGUUCGGGAAAGGGCACUAUGACCGAUAACUAUCAGAUUAGUCUCGGGCGGAUUAGCUAUUUGGUGGGGUAAGGGCCUACAAAGGCGACGAUCCGUAACUGGUCUGAGAGGAUGAUCAGUCACACUGGAACUGAGACACGGUCCAGACUCCUACGGGAGGCAGCAGUGGGGAAUAUUGGGCAAUGGGCGAAAGCCUGAUCCAGCCAUGCCGCGUGUGUGAAGAAGGUCUUCGGAUUGUAAAGCACUUUAAGUAGGGAAGCGUUACCAACAGAAUAAGCACCGGCUAACUACGUGCCAGCAGCCGCGGUAAUAC
rnacentral:rRNA from 1 species